rfam:Micromonospora humi strain DSM 45647 genome assembly, contig: Ga0070213_136
CGGGGUGACGGCGUGCCUUUUGAAGAAUGAGCCUGCGAGUUAGUGGCAUGUGGCGAGGUUAACCCGGGUGGGGGAGCCGUAGCGAAAGCGAGUCUGAAUAGGGCGUUUUUAGUCGCAUGCUCUAGACCCGAAGCGGAGUGAUCUAGCCAUGGGCAGGCUGAAGCGCGGGUAAGACCGCGUGGAGGGCCGAACCCACCAACGUUGAAAAGUUGGGGGAUGACCUGUGGUUAGGGGUGAAAGGCCAAUCAAACUCCGUGAUAGCUGGUUCUCCCCGAAAUGCAUUUAGGUGCAGCGUCGCGUGUUUCUUGCCGGAGGUAGAGCACUGGAUGGUCUAGGGGGCCCACAAGCUUACCGAAAUCAGCCAAACUCCGAAUGCCGGUAAGUGAGAGCGCGGCAGUGAGACUGCGGGGGAUAAGCUUCGUAGUCGAGAGGGAAACAGCCCAGAUCACCAGCUAAGGCCCCUAAGCGUGUGCUAAGUGGAAAAGGAUGUGGGGUCGCAUAGACAACCAGGAGGUUGGCUUAGAAGCAGCCACCCUUUAAAGAGUGCGUAAUAGCUCACUGGUCAAGUGGUUCCGCGCCGACAAUGUAGCGGGGCUCAAGCACACCGCCGAAGCUGUGGCAUUCACAUUUCAACUUCGCCAGGUCUUGAUAUCUGGUGCAGGUGUGUGGAUGGGUAGGGGAGCGUCGUGCCGGGGGUGAAGCGACGGGGUGACCUAGUUGUGGACACGGCACGAGUGAGAAUGCAGGCAUGAGUAGCGAAAGAAGGGUGAGAAACCCUUCCGCCGGAUGACCAAGGGUUCCAGGGCCAGGCUAAUCCGCCCUGGGUGAGUCGGGACCUAAGGCGAGGCCGAGAGGCGUAGUCGAUGGACAACGGGUUGAUAUUCCCGUACCCGCGAAAGAGCGACCCUGACGAACCUCGUUGUGCUAACCACCCGAACUGCCGGAUGCCUUCGGGCUGAUGGUGGGGAGCGUGGGAACCUGGCGGGUAGUAGUCAAGCGAUGGGGUGACGCAGGAAGGUAGCUGAGCCCGGCCGGUGGUUGUGCCGGGGUAAGCGUGUAGGCCGUGCCGUAGGCAAAUCCGCGGUGCAUGUAGGCUGAGACGUGAUGCCGAGCCGAUUCAGGUGAAGUCAGUGAUCCUAUGCUGCCGAGAAAAGCCUCUAGCGAGUUCUUAGCGGCCCGUACCCCAAACCGACACAGGUGGUCAGGUAGAGAAUACCGAGGCGAUCGGGCGAACUGUGGUUAAGGAACUCGGCAAAUUGCCCCCGUAACUUAGGGAGAAGGGGGGCCGGAGACGUGAAGCCCCGCGCGGGUGGAGCGUUGUAUGGCCGCAGAGAGCAGGGGGAAGCGACUGUUUACUAAAAACACAGGUCCAUGCGAAGAAGUAAUUCGAUGUAUAUGGACUGACGCCUGCCCGGUGCUGGAACGUUAAGGGGACCUGUUAGCUCUUCGGGGCGAAGCGGAGAACUUAAGCGCCAGUAAACGGCGGUGGUAACUAUAACCAUCCUAAGGUAGCGAAAUUCCUUGUCGGGUAAGUUCCGACCUGCACGAAUGGCGUAACGACUUCCCCACUGUCUCAACCACAGGCCCGGCGAAAUUGCAUUACGAGUAAAGAUGCUCGUUACGCGCGGCAGGACGGAAAGACCCCGGGACCUUUACUAUAGCUUGACAUUGGUAUCUGAAUUAGCUUGUGUAGGAUAGGUGGGAGCCGGUGAAGUCCAUACGCCAGUAUGGGUGGAGGCAAUCUUGAAAUACCACUCUGGUUGAUUUGGGUAUCUAACUUCGGACCGUUAUCCGGUUCAGGGACAGUGUCUGGUGGGUAGUUUAACUGGGGCGGUUGCCUCCUAAAGGGUAACGGAGGCGCCCAAAGGUUCCCUCAGCCUGGUUGGCAAUCAGGUGUUGAGUGCAAGUGCACAAGGGAGCUUGACUGUGAGACUGACAGGUCGAGCAGGGACGAAAGUCGGGACUAGUGAUCCGGCACUGGCAUGUGGAAGCGGUGUCGCUCAACGGAUAAAAGGUACCCCGGGGAUAACAGGCUGAUCUUCCCCAAGAGUCCAUAUCGACGGGAUGGUUUGGCACCUCGAUGUCGGCUCGUCGCAUCCUGGGGCUGUAGCAGGUCCCAAGGGUUGGGCUGUUCGCCCAUUAAAGCGGUACGCGAGCUGGGUUUAGAACGUCGUGAGACAGUUCGGUCCCUAUCCGCCGUGCGCGUAGGAUACUUGAGAAGGGCUGUCCCUAGUACGAGAGGACCGGGACGGACGAACCUCUGGUGUGCCAGUUGUCCCGCCAGGGGCACGGCUGGUUAGCUACGUUCGGAAGGGAUAACCGCUGAAAGCAUCUAAGCGGGAAGCUCGCUUCAAGAUGAGGUAUCCCACCCACAUUGUGGGGUAAGGCCCCCAGCUAGACGACUGGGUUGAUAGGCCGGAAAUGUAAGCCCGGUAACGGGUUCAGUUGACCGGUACUAAUAGGCCGAGGACUUGACUAC